CGGGCUCAUAGAUGUUAUAGAAGGUCAAGCACAAUAGGAAAAGAUCAUGUCCACUAGGAUAGGAUGUGGAGUCCUGUCUUGCAUGAUGAUGUGAAAUGCCAUGAUAAUAAGCAUGUGCAUUAAUGAUAUGCUAUGAUAUGUGAUGCGGGAUCAUGUGUGCCCACAUGAACCAUAUGAUGCUAAUGUUGCUUGUGAUGUGCACUGUUUUUCAGAAAACAGGAUGAGAGGAACUCGUCGAUCAGCAAGAUUGACUGGAGUAC
rnacentral:lncRNA from 1 species